rnacentral:rRNA from 1 species
UACGUAGGGGGCUAGCGUUGUCCGGAAUCAUUGGGCGUAAAGCGCGCGUAGGCGGCCAGAUAAGUCCGGUGUGAAAGCCACAGGCUCAACCUGUGAAUGCCGUUGGAAACUGUCUGGCUAGAGUCCGGGAGGGGCGAGUGGAAUUCCUGGUGUAGCGGUGAAAUGCGCAGAUAUCAGGAGGAACACCAAUGGCGAAGGCAGCUCGCUGGAACGGAACUGACGCUGAGACGCGAAAGCGUGGGGAGCGAACAGG